rnacentral:rRNA from 1 species
AUACAGAGGGUGCAAGCGUUAAUCGGAAUUACUGGGCGUAAAGCGCACGUAGGUGGUUCAUUAAGUCAGAUGUGAAAGCCCCGGGCUCAACCUGGGAACUGCAUUUGAAACUGGUGAGCUAGAGUAUGGUAGAGGUAAGUGGAAUUCCAGGUGUGGCGGUGAAAUGCGUAGAUAUCUGGAGGAACAUCAGUGGCGAAGGCGACUUACUGGACCAAUACUGACACUGAGGUGCGAAAGCGUGGGGAGCAAACAGGAUUAGAAACCCUAGUAGUCC